GUUAAGCGACUAAGCGUACACGGUGGAUGCCCUGGCAGUCAGAGGCGAUGAAGGGCGUGCUAAUCUGCGAUAAGCGCCGGUAAGGUGAUAUGAACCGUUAUAACCGGCGAUACCCGAAUGGGGAAACCCAGUGUGACUCGUCACACUAUCAUUAACUGAAUCCAUAGGUUAAUGAGGCGAACCGGGGGAACUGAAACAUCUAAGUACCCCGAGGAAAAGAAAUCAACCGAGAUUCCCCCAGUAGCGGCGAGCGAACGGGGAGGAGCCCAGAGCCUGAAUCAGCAUGUGUGUUAGUGGAAGCGUCUGGAAAGGCGCGCGAUACAGGGUGACAGCCCCGUACACAAAAGCGCAUGUGCUGUGAGCUCGAUGAGUAGGGCGGGACACGUGGUAUCCUGUCUGAAUAUGGGGGGACCAUCCUCCAAGGCUAAAUACUCCUGACUGACCGAUAGUGAACCAGUACCGUGAGGGAAAGGCGAAAAGAACCCCGGCGAGGGGAGUGAAAAAGAACCUGAAACCGUGUACGUACAAGCAGUGGGAGCACCCUUCGGGGUGUGACUGCGUACCUUUUGUAUAAUGGGUCAGCGACUUAUAUUCUGUAGCAAGGUUAACC
rnacentral:rRNA from 1 species